rnacentral:piRNA from 1 species
UAGUCAUGUCUGUCUAUCUAACAGGGG